GGAAGCUGGUGGAAUUCCAGCACGGUCGCGCCACUGUGAGCCCGCCGCCGCGAGGUGGUUGGCGAGUCAGACAC
rnacentral:ncRNA from 2 species